rnacentral:rRNA from 1 species
GUUAAAAAGCUCGUAGUUGGAUUUCUGUGGGGACGGAGCGGCCGGCCGCUACUAGCGGUUCGAGCUAGCGCUUUCCCUACAUCCUGCCGCGAACCGCGCUACCAUUAGUUUGGUGGCGCCGGGGAUCGGCUCGUUUACUUUGAGAAAAAUAGAGUGUUCAAAGCAGGCCACACGCCUUGAAUAAGUUAGCAUGGAAUAAUAACUAAGGACUUCGGUUCUAUUUUGUUGGUGUUCGGGACUGAAGUAAUGAUUGAUAGGGACAGUUGGGGCGGUCCGUAUUCCAAAGCGAGAGGUGAAAUUCUUAGACCUUCGGAAGACGAACAGCUGCGAAAGCGUUCCGCAAGGAUGUUCCCUUUGAUCAAGAACGAAAGUUGGGGGAUCGAAGACGAUCAGAUACCGUCGUAGUCUCAACUAUAAACUAUACCAGCUAGGGAUC